GAAGCCAUUUAUAUCCUUAACCCAUCAACUUCUCUUCUUUUGCCUUGAAGUUGAAGCAGAGCAGACAUCCUCCUCCCAUUCAUUCUUCCCGUGGGUGCGUUUCCGGUUCCGAGGCGACCACCAAACCAAUCGAGUUUCGACGCACGCCACCUGUUCGACGAAAGGCCUCUGCGUGCUCGGCCGCCAUGGAAGGAUCGCCUGGCAAGCGCGUGCAGCCCACGUCCCCGGGGAGCGCCCCCUGUACUGACAGGCUCAGCGACCUCCCUGAAGGAGUCCUCCACCACAUCAUGUCCUUCCUCACCUCGCGCCAGGCAGUGUAGACGUGCGUGCUGUCCAAGCGGUGGUGCUACCUCUGGCGCUCCGUGCCCUGCAUCAACGCCGAUUACAAGCAGUUCGAGGUGACGCAUUCUGAAGCGGGAGACGGUGAGGCGCCGGCGCUGUUCAAGAGAUUUGUCAACCGGCUGCUGGAACUCCGCGACCCAGUCGCCUCUCUGGACAAGUUCUGUCUCCGGUAUUCCAUAUCUUAUGACAACGACGAUGACACUGACCCGCAAGAUGCAGUCGCGAAUAGGUGGAUCAGCCAUGCUUUUCAGAAGAAGGCCCGGGUUGUAGAGGUUUAUGUUGACCUCGUCUACGCUGACCUCUUUCCGUUGGCGAUUAAUCACUCUGUGUUUACUUCAAGCUGAAAUUAAUCUGAACCGUUGAUCGUAUUUAAUCAUAUGGUUGAGAUCGAGUUCUACUCC